CAACCUGUUGCUCCUCCCUCAUCUGUCCUUCCCUCCAUUCGUCCUCCUCUCGGGAGGAUAUAAAAGCCUGACAACUGCAAGCUGGCAGUUUCAUGAUUUGAGAGAGCAAACCGUUUUCUCUAAAUUCCUCAGUAGAAGUAAGGAUCGAGGCAUUCAACAUCAGCAUGCAGGGACGCUUGGUGGUCGUUGUGGCUGCUCUGGUGGUGAUGUGUCAGCUGACCACGUCCCUUGACACGUCGGCAGACGCGGAUGCUAUGAAGCCGAGUCUGUUUGGUGUACUGACUAAAGGAGAGACGAACUCUGUUGUCAGUACACUAGUAUCUGGCCCCUGUACAUGUGACUUCAUAGGGCCUUGUCCUUGUGGACCUUCCCCUCCCAUCAUAUAUUAAAUGACAGGCUGUGUACCACAUCUCGUGCUGAAUAAAUAAGAUAUGAAUUGUAUUAUAUACAGCACAACACCUUGCCUGUAGUGAUCAA